rnacentral:rRNA from 1 species
CACGUAAGGGGCAAGCGUUGUUCGGAUUUAUUGGGCGUAAAGGGCGUGUAGGCGGCAGUGCAAGUCUGGUGUGAAAUACUUCGGCUCAACCGGAGAGACGCGCUGGAAACUGUGCUGCUUGAGUUUAGGAGGGGGAGCUGGAAUUCCUGGUGUAGGGGUGAAAUCUGUAGAGAUCAGGAAGAACACCGGAGGCGAAGGCGAGCUCCUGGCCAUAGACUGACGCUGAGGCGCGAAAGCGUGGGGAGCGAACAGG